rnacentral:rRNA from 1 species
UGGGGAAUAUUGGACAAUGGGCGAAAGCCUGAUCCAGCCAUGCCGCGUGUGUGAAGAAGGUCUUCGGAUUGUAAAGCACUUUAAGUUGGGAGGAAGGGCAGUAAGCGAAUACCUUGCUGUUUUGACGUUACCGACAGAAUAAGCACCGGCUAACUCUGUGCCCGCAGCCGCGGUAAUACAGAGGGUGCAAGCGUUAAUCGGAAUUACUGGGCGUAAAGCGCGCGUAGGUGGUUCGUUAAGUUGAAUGUGAAAGCCCCGGGCUCAACCUGGGAACUGCAUCCAAAACUGGCGAGCUAGAGUAGGGCAGAGGGUGGUGGAAUUUCCUGUGUAGCGGUGAAAUGAGUAGAUAUAGGAAGGAACACCAGUGGCGAAGGCGACCACCUGGGCUCAUACUGACACUGAGGUGCGAAAGCGUGGGGAGCAAACAGG